rnacentral:misc_RNA from 1 species
GGAAGUGUUUAUUUAUUUAAAAAAAUGACACACUUUUUCUUGUUUCACUUUAUGUAUUUUUGUAAAUUUACUUUUGUACGUUUUUCUUUAAUUUGUUAAUUUAGUUGGUUGGUUUAUAAGGUACGAGGUAAGGUGGGUCUGUUUAGUUUUUUCAUUACUGUAAAGAUUUGAAGUUAGGUAAAUGAAUUAGAAGAUGGACAAAAAAUAAGUGACCUGAACUUCAAGUUAGAGAAUGACACUUCAUGUGUGACAAUUUGUAUUUCAUUCAGAUAUUCUCUGUAUCAGUUUGAAUAAAGAAUGGGUAUGCAGAUUACUCAUCAGUGUUUGUAGUUUAGUACAUAACUAUCAUACGGGUUAUAUAUUCAGAAAAUUAUAGAUACAACUCAGUGUUGUUUUACCGACACUUAGACACAUUAUAAAGUCCUCUUCCAGGGCUGCGUUUUACAAAAGAACUCACGACAGAGUCGUAAAUGUUUUCAGUCUCAUAGAAUGGUCUUUAAUAAAAAAAUAUUUAAGCUAAAACCAUUUAUUUACAACUAUUUUAUUUUCCAUAAUUUAUUUUACAGCCAUUCGAAUAAAGCAUUGAUUAGUUAGGAAUUAAUUAGCAUUCAUUUAUUUGGUCGUAAGUCGUAAGUUCCUUCGUAAAACGCAGCCCAUUAUUGUAUAUUUUCUUUUUAAAUCAGCUUAAUUAAGGAAUUAUUUUUGUUCCACGUUAUACAUGUAAGGUCAGCGGAUUCGAUUAUUAAAAUCAAUUCAGUCAUUCAGAUGAAGGUUAUCUUCAAAUUAUUCAUUAAUAGAUAACAAAGAUGAGAAAUCUAAUUAAGCAGUGAAUAGGAUGUAGGUGUCCACAAGCGUAUAUGAAUUAUACAUGUAUCUACCAGCGGGUACACGAACUCCAUGUAUAGAAAAGGUCACGUUCCGUGCAGCCAAGGCUAAUCAACUUGGCAUUUAUUUUAUUUUAAAUCUUCACAAGAAUUACUUUAGCAUAUUUUAUUAGUUUAUUUAAAUUUAAAAGUUAAUUAGUUCU